GAUGAACGCUAGCGAUAGGCUUAACACAUGCAAGUCGAGGGGCAGCAUGGUCUUAGCUUGCUAAGACUGAUGGCGACCGGCGCACGGGUGCGUAACGCGUAUGCAACUUGCCUCACAGAGGGGGAUAACCCGUCGAAAGACGGACUAACACCGCGUACACUUGGGAUAGGGCAUCCUGACCCAAGGAAAUGAAAUUCGCUGUGAGAUAGGCAUGCGUCCCAUUAGCUAGUUGGUGAGGUAACGGCUCACCAAGGCGACGAUGGGUAGGGGAACUGAGAGGUUGAACCCCCACACUGGUACUGAGACACGGACCAGACUCCUACGGGAGGCAGCAGUGAGGAAUAGUGGUCAAUGGGCGAGAGCCUGAACCAGCCAAGUCGCGUGAAGGAUGACUGUCUUAUGGAUUGUAAACUUCUUUUAUACGGGAAUAACAAGAGUCACGUGUGGCUCCCUGCAUGUACCGUAUGAAUAAGCAGCGGCUAACUCCGU
rnacentral:rRNA from 1 species